rnacentral:rRNA from 1 species
CCAAUAGCGUAUAUUAAAGUUGUUGCAGUUAAAAAGCUCGUAGUUGAAUUUCGGGAUUUGUCAGUUGGUCGGGCUUCACUGUCCGUAUUGACUUGAUGGAUUCUUACCUUCUGAAUAACCAGCAUGCUAUUAAGUUAGUGCGUUGGGGAAGCAGAUCUAUUACCUUGAAAAAAUUAGAGUGCUUAAAGCGAGCUAGUGCUUGAAUAGAUUAGCAUGGAAUAAUAAAAUAGGACGGCAUGGUUCUAUUUUGUUGGUUUCUAGGAUCACCGUAAUGAUUAAUAGGGAUAGUUGGGGGCAUUAGUAUUCAAUUGUCAGAGGUGAAAUUCUUGGAUUUAUUGAAGACUAACUUCUGCGAAAGCAUUUGCCAAGGAUGUUUUCAUUAAUCAAGAACGAAAGUUAGGGGAUCGAAGACGAUCAGAUACCGUCGUAGUCUUAACCAUAAACUAUGCCGACUAGGAAUCGGACGAUGUUAAUUUUAUAAUGACUCGUUCGGCACCUUAC